GGGAAGGAAUGGAGAAUCGUUUGGCAUCUGGGUUCUGUUUCACUUCUUUGUUAUAUUAAGCUUCUGUAUGACUAACCUUCUCCCACAGUGUUUCCCAAGAUGGUAUGCCAUGGAACGUUGGUCCGUGGCCAAUAAGCAGCGUCAUGGGAGCAAAAGUGCCCAAUGCUCAAGUGUAGGAGAUGCCAAUGUACACAGACUUCUUUAUUAUAGAGUUUUCGAUGCAGUAAACAGGCAACCUGUGCUCGAGUCCCUAUUUACUGCACACCGUGCACAGUAUGUGGCACUUGCUAAAGUCAUUCGGAAACGCUGUGGGAGCAACUUCUUGAAUGGCGCUCUGCAGAGCAUCGGUCUGAGAACGCUGGCGUGGAACACAGCUCGGGAGACCCGGGAGUGUCACCCUUCGCUCUGCCACCGGCUAGCUGGGCGGCCUUGGGCAAGCACCUCUAGCUUCCUCAUUCUCUGUCUCUUCAUCUUCAGAGAGGGGCAAGAAUGAUCCCACCUCUCAGCGCUGCAGGUGAAUGUCAGCCCGGAAGCAAGAACUCUGCAGGGGCCACAGCCGAGCGUAAAGACUGGGCAGGACCUGGUGAAGCUGUGCCCUAGAAAACCGGUGUCCCACCCCCAGGGGCGGGGCCAAACUUGCUCAUAUACACAAAGAAGCUGCGAGGAUAUUUACGGCAGCCGUGUAGCCAGGUGUCGUGUAGCGAGAUGUUGAAGUGACAUUUCAGCAGAGGAGCCGAGAUCCAGUGGACACCACCAUCCAAAGGUGCUGCUAGACCACGGGCAGAAUUCACCGAGGAGGUUCCCAAGAGACGUCCUCACUCCCUCAUCCAUGUUCUGGGAACUCCUGGAGGGGCAGAGGGGAAGAAGCUACCACUCGGAACACCUUUACCCAGCAGUCUCUACCCCCAACGCGGGGCUGGAACGCGCAGCCCCGAGAUCACGGGGCACAUGCUCCUCCGACUGAGCCAGCCAGGCGACCGCAAGCCGAAUUCCCCAAGGGCAUCUGAUCUGAUCACUGGCUUCCACACCAUACGCAAACUACAGUGUCAUUUGCCAAUGAUCCAGGUGAGAAAAAAAAAAAAAAUGUAUGUGGAACAGAAUAUAGUGU